UACGAGGGGUGCUAGCGUUGUUCGGAAUUAUUGGGCGUAAAGGGUACGUAGGCGGUUUGGUAAGUUGAAUGUGAAAGCCCAAGGCUCAACCUUGGAACUGCAUUCAAUACUGCUAGACUAGAGCAUGGCAGGAGAUAGUGGAAUUCCUAGUGUAGGGGUGAAAUCCGUAGAUAUUAGGAGGAACAUCAGUGGCGAAGGCGACUAUCUAUACCAUUGCUGACGCUGAGGUACGAAAGUGUGGGGAGCAAACAGG
rnacentral:rRNA from 1 species